GUGCCAUGAGAAACCAGGCUUCUCUCACAGUGUCUCCAGAAACUGCCAGGAGAGGAGACACGGAGAGGCCUGGGUAUUUUGUCUUCCCAGACCCUUCAACUGGAGAAACGCCCUUUACAGGUGUUUUGUCCAAAUGAAUGUCUGUGUACCAUGAAUAUGCCUGGUACCAACAGAGGCCAGAAGAAACACUGGAUCUCCUGGAAAGCAAAGUGUACUCUGGAUACUGUGGAAGAAUGGACUCUGACCUCUUACAUCCCAGUGCACUUAGUGAUAAGGAAGAAAUAUUCAGAGAGAGAGAGAGCACAGUGAGGCACACUGGGCUUUGCCGAGCCAGGAAAAAGAGGUGGGAAGCCUUUGACCCCUUUGCUCAGAGUGAUUUGGCUCAGAAGAUGAACAGUAAAUCACCUGGAGCUGAAAGUGGUCCAGGUCAGACUGGAGCAGAGAUCCAAUCAGCGGCUAAAGCAAGGUUAUCUGGGUUGACUUGGGUGUUGUCUUGGUAAUCAAUAAAAGUAUAGAACACUU